GAAAUCGGGCUCACUCCCAACCCCAAUGUGAACGUUACCAAUCUGUUGCCUCGGCGGGAUUCUCUUGCCCCGGGCGCGUCGCAGCCCCGGAUCCCAUGGCGCCCGCCGGAGGACCAACUCCAAACUCUUUUUUUCUCUCCGUCGCGGCUCCCGUCGCGGCUCUGUUUUACUUUUGCUCUGAGCCUUUCUCGGCGACCCUAGCGGGCGUCUCGAAAAUGAAUCAAAACUUUCAACAACGGAUCUCUUGGUUCUGGCAUCGAUGAAGAACGCAGCGAAAUGCGAUAAGUAAUGUGAAUUGCAGAAUUCAGUGAAUCAUCGAAUCUUUGAACGCACAUUGCGCCCGCCAGUAUUCUGGCGGGCAUGCCUGUCCGAGCGUCAUUUCAACCCUCGAACCCCUCCGGGGGGUCGGCGUUGGGGAUCGGCCCCUCACCGGGCCGCCCCCGAAAUACAGUGGCGGUCUCGCCGCAGCCUCUCCUGCGCAGUAGUUUGCACACUCGCACCGGGAGCGCGGCGCGGCCACAGCCGUAAAACACCCCAAACUUCUGAAAUGUUGACCUCGGAUCAGGUAGGAAUACCCGCUGAACUUAAGCAUAUCAAUAAGGCGGAGGAA
rnacentral:rRNA from 1 species